rnacentral:lncRNA from 1 species
GGCCACUUCUGCAGGGUGUGGGCAGCACUGGAGAUAGGAGGAGUGGUGAGGGGUGAGUUGGACCUUUGGAUUGCUCAUGGUAUCUGGUGCUUCCAGCCACCAUCCUUCCCCCUUGGCCAUGACUGGAGGUUUACUCAAAAGAGGUUGACUGAGAGGGUCCGGGCUGGGGAACACUGGGCAGAGCUCAGGGUGCUGGUAUCAUCUGGAAACCUAGGAAACUACCAGGGCAUCUGCCAACCACACAGUGGCAUCACCAGCACCAGCUACCAUCCUAGGAUGCUGGCAGCCAGGCUCCUAGGGCACUGUUGGAGGAGAGGGGCUUCCUCCCUGGGUAAGCUGAUUAGCCCAGGAGAAAGUGUCUACAGACGUGCGCUAAGCUAAAUACUGUCCACAUCCCUGAAACCUGGGAGAUGGUAGGUUCCACAGCAAAGGGGAAUUAAGGCGGGAGAUGGAAUUAAGGUUGUUAGCUGACUCUUACAUAGGAAAAGCACCUGAGGUUAUCCAGAUGGGCUCAUUGCAAUUACCAGGGGGCUUAGAAAUGGAAGAGAGGGACUGAGAAGGUCAGAGUCAUGUGAUGUGAGAAUCUUGUGACACCUGCUGUGGUUUUGAAGAUGGAGGAAAGGAGACAAAAGUCAAGGAAUGUGGGAGGCUUGUAGAAGCUGGUGAAGGGAAGGAAAUGAGUUCUCUUCAGGAGGCCCCAGAACCUUAGGAACACAGCCCAGUCAGCAUUCUAAUUUUAGUCCAGUGAGACUGUAUCAGACUUCUGACUUGUAGGACUCAACUGUAGGAUGAUAUGAUUUGUGCUGUUUUAAGGUAUCAAGUUUGUGGAAAUUUGUUACUGCUGCAAUAGAAAGCCGAUGCACUGAGAGGGACCCAGCAAAAUGCAUGAUCACCCUACAGUGAACCUCAAAAGUUGAAAAUCACAUCUGUAUACUCUGGGAUACCAUUAACAUUUUAGGACUUCUCUUAAGUAUUGACAGUCAAAGAGUAACAGAUAUUUGAACGAAAUGCCCAAUACAAAAGGCAAAGUUCAGAAUUAAUAAAAACAACAGAGAAAAGAAACCAUGUAGGGAGCAGAGUUUAAAAAAAAAAAGAAAAAGAAAACCCUUCAGAGGUAUAGAAGAUAUUGAACUUAUGAAACAAGAACAGAGUGUUCUUAAAAAGGAAUAUUUGGAAAACUUAAAGAGCUCUUAGAAUUGAAAAGAACCCACAUCAAAUAUAUUACAUUAAAAAAAUGAGAAAUUAAGUUUAAAAAAUUGAAAAACAAAACAAAUUGUUUUAAGAAAAAAAAUAAGAUUAGAGUAUCUAUAAAGGACAUUCAAGAGGAGUCUCAGAGUAAAGUAAAACAGUUAUCAGAUUGAAAGAGUCAAUGUACCUUUAUGAACACAUAAAUGAUCUCGAUUGACAUAUCACUUUUCCAAAGUCCAGUAAUAAAGAGAUGAUCCUUAAAAUGUCUAGAGAAGAAAAUGUGGUUAUUUACAAAGGAUCAGACCUCCUAUUGGCCUCAGAGGUCUCAAAAAUAUUGGAAGGAAGGAGAUCAAUGCCUUAACAAUUCUGAAGAAAAUAACUUCCAUCUCAGAACUCCCAUGCAGGCUCUCAAACAAGUCUGCCCGUGGGGUCAGCAUUUUCAGGCAUAAAAAAGUCUAAAAUAAUUUAUAUUUCUUAGGACUCUCUUGGAAGAUAUGGUGCUCCAAGAUGAGGAGGAAGAAAUAAGAUGCUAGGAGCCAAGAAAUAGGGUAUCUAGGGAAGAGAUCACUGAAGGGACUUGG